GGGCAGUGAGCCUGGAGGCGGGGGGGAAGAAGGGGGCGGCGCUGGAGGAACUGAGCCCUAAGAUUUUAAGGGCAUGCUCCAACACCCAUUAAAGUCAAUGGAAAGAUUUUCCAUGGGAUGGGUCCAGGGUGCAUCUAGGAUUAUGAAAGUUUUGAUGUCUCUGGGAUGCCUUCUUGCACAUUCAAGUUAUCCCCGCUUGAAAGGAGAACAGAUUUUUCUCACUGGGGCUAGGUUUUAUUCUUAUCCAGCUGGCAAAAGGAGUAAGGUUCAUUGUUUCAUGGACUACACUCAGGAAAAUAGAGUGUAGGUUACUAAUGGUACCCCCUCGACCCAGGUUCAUCACUCAGUGACAAUAACAUUCUAUUUGUCCUGGGAAGGAAUUUGCAUUCAAACAACAUCCUGUGCUUCAAAGGGAGUGAAAUGGAAUACAAGUGCCCUACCUAUGGAAACCACACUGGUAUUGGGUAAAUGCCUGUGAACCUUAUCUCCCGGGUACAAAGCAGCUGGAUUUCUAUACAUUAUACUUAAGGAAAACUCUACAUUUUCUGCUUGUUCAGGAUGUCUGCAAAUUCCAAAGGUAAGAAACACGUCUUGAUAUUUGAUGUUUUUAAUUACAGUUGCUGUUUUUUG
rnacentral:lncRNA from 1 species